CGAACGGGUGAGGAACGCGUGGACAACCUACCCCGGCGUGGGGGAUACCCGCCAGAAAUGGCGGCUAAUACCGCGUACGGUUCUCUGACGGAGGGUUGGAGAAAGAAAGCAGCGAUGCGCGCUGGGAGGGGUCUGCGGCCGAUUAGCUAGUUGGCGGGGUAACGGCCCACCAAGGCGAUGAUCGGUAGCUGGUCUGAGAGGAUGAUCAGCCACACGGGGACUGAGACACGGCCCCG
rnacentral:rRNA from 1 species